UGGAGGGAGCCAAUAAAACAUU
rnacentral:siRNA from 1 species